ACACUUCACAUUAAGCGGGCGGGGCCUAUAUAGGUCCUGCCCGUUUUUGCGGGCUAUGGCGAUAAAUUGCGCUGUGCAAUAGGCACAACGGACCCGGGGGCAGUACCCGGCGGCUCCACCAUAAGGCCCUGAUCUCAGGGCAUUCUGACGGGGCCGAACCAGGAUCGACGUGUGUUGAAAGACUUCGUUUUCGCCCGGGCUGAGUAACCCGUAAAACUGUUCACAACACACAAGUGCCAAUGACAAUGAAGCACUCGCUCUUGCUGCGUAAUCUGACGGCCUAACGGCCUGAUCUUACAAAGCUAAAGCGCGGUUGGACCCACCGGGCAACAGAAGCGGAUUCCG
rfam:Altererythrobacter xiamenensis strain CGMCC 1.12494 genome assembly, contig: Ga0171583_11